rnacentral:rRNA from 1 species
AUUGAACGCUGGCGGCAUGCCUUACACAUGCAAGUCGAACGGCAGCACGGGAGCAAUCCUGGUGGCGAGUGGCGAACGGGUGAGUAAUAUAUCGGAACGUGCCCAGUCGUGGGGGAUAACGCAGCGAAAGCUGUGCUAAUACCGCAUACGAUCUAUGGAUGAAAGCGGGGGAUCGCAAGACCCCGCGCGAUUGGAGCGGCCGAUAUCAGAUUAGCUAGUUGGUGAGGUAAAGGCUCACCAAGGCGACGAUCUGUAGCUGGUCUGAGAGGACGACCAGCCACACUGGAACUGAGACACGGUCCAGACUCCUACGGGAGGCAGCAGUGGGGAAUUUUGGACAAUGGGCGAAAGCCUGAUCCAGCAAUGCCGCGUGCAGGAUGAAGGCCUUCGGGUUGUGAACUGCUUUUGUACGGAACGAAACGGUGAGCUCUAAUACAGUUUGCUAAUGACGGUACCGUAAGAAUAAGCACCGGCUAACUACGUGCCAGCAGCCGCCGUAA